rnacentral:rRNA from 1 species
AACCUUUACAAUGUGCGAAAGCAUGAUAAGGGAACUCCGAGUGCCAGCAUCUAAUGUUGGCUGUCCUUGUGCCUAAAACGCACAAGAUAGCAAGGGCCGGGUAAGACCGGUGCCAGCCGCCGCGGUAACACCGGCGGCCCGAGUGGUAGCCGCUAUUAUUGGGUCUAAAGGGUCCGUAGCCGGUUCGAUAAGUCCUCUGGGAAAUCUGGUUGCUUAACAAUCAGACUGCCAAGGGAUACUGUCGAACUUGAGACCGGGAGAGGUAAGAGGUACUUCAGGGGUAGGAGUGAAAUCUUGUAAUCCCUGGGGGACCAUCUGUGGCGAAGGCGUCUUACCAGAACGGGUCUGACGGUGAGGGACGAAAGCUGGGGGCGCAAACCGGAUUAGAUACCCGGGUAGUCCCAGCCGUAAACGAUGCUCGCUAUGUGUCAGGUACGGUGUGACCGUAUCUGGUGCCGUAGGGAAGCCGUGAAGCGAGCCACCUGGGAAGUACGGCCGCAAGGCUGAAACUUAA